ensembl:lncRNA
GAGGUUCUUGGUUUGUGUUCGAACAAGGAAGAGAGGUAGCUUGACACCAUCAGAGCCUCAAGAUGAAAGUUCGAACUUUAAUCUACUUCUUCCUCACUCUGCAGGAUGGAAACACUGGUCUCAUCAAUUCAGAGGAACUCCAUACAGGAACUGAAGGAGGAAACAUCACAGUUAAAUGCAAAUUUUAUUUCUCUGGCAGCAGGAAGCUGUUCUGUAAAGAAGAAUGUACAACAGGAAACAUUCUCAUUGAAACAACCAAUGACAGAGCUCAGAGAGACAGAUACAGUAUUGAAUAUAAAGAAAGAUCAAACAUCAUGUAUGUGAGCAUCACACAGCUGAAAAAGUCUGACUCUGGAUGGUACACAUGUAGUUUGGACAGAACAUUUGGUCCUGAUGGUUAUGAGAAGUUUGAGCUCUUGGUGACAGAAGGUACACUGCUGUAUGUGAGUCUGACCCUGGUCACCAUAAUCAUCAUAUUAUUAGUGGCUGUGCUAAUAUUCUGCAGAAAGAAGCCCAAGAAAAUCAAAGAACAUCUCAGGGAAACCGUGUAUGCUGAGACUGUCAGAGAGGUCAGCCAGGUGUAUGAGGAGAUCGAAGAGGAGGACAGACAGAGCAGAUCUCCUGAUGUGAAAGUCUCUACAGUUUACGCUUAUGCCAAAUACAACAAACCAAAUGGAGUCGACACCACAGAUGAAUACAGCUUAGUCACUGUCCCUGCAGCCUGUGCUCAGAACCCAAUUAAAGAUAUCUCCACUCAAUUAAUCUACUCUCAGGUGGAUUUUCCAAAUGUUCUCCACAGCGUCUCCUCUGGUAACACAGAUAAUGUCAUCUACUCUGCACCUCGGGUUCAAGCAAGUUCUACUAAUGGGACCAACGACAGUUCACCUUCUCUCUACUCAAAUGUUGCUCUACAUCAGGUGUAGCUCUGCUGAUGUGACAGACUUCGAGAAGUGAUGUUUCUUUUCUUCAUUAUUUUUACAUUAAUUUGCAGUUUCAUUGGUGUUACUUUUUAUAUUUUUGCUUAAUAAACUACUGUGGGUCAGUUUAUUUAAAUAUUUUGAUUAGAAAAAAGGUCAUUUGUUCUGAGAACUAUUGUCUGUCCAACAGUAAAGACUCAAAGAGAUGCAGAGAAAAAAAGAGGUGUGCUUUUUACCCUGAACUCCCUGAGAUGGGAAACAUGUGGAGCAUGUUCCAGGUGGCUAUACAAACUCAGCUAAGUCAAUAUAUAGAUAUAUAUAUAAUAAUGCUACAAGUUAAUUAUUCAGAUGAUUUGUAUAAUAAAGUUUGUACUACAAGGAGAUGAUAAAAACAAAAAUAACAAAAAUGUAUUUAUCAAUAAUUAAUAAUGUAUUUAUUUAAUAAAAAAUGAUGCUCAAGACUUUGACAUAUUUAAUGUGUAAAUUCACAUAUCCUAUAAAAUGUUGUUUAAACAAGUCAACCACAGCCUUUAUUUAAAAAACAAACUUACUUCUACAGUAAAUGAAGUCUGCCUCUAAGUAAAUUUAAGUAAAAUUCAAGGCACACAGCAAAUUCCCUGUCUGCCGCUGAUAAUAACAUGG